GAGGUGGCGCCGUGGAGCAGCGCCGGGGCUCGGACGACUUUCUGAGGGAGCCUCGUCCGUCAGGCUCCUUGCGUUUUGGUUCAGGCGCCGGUGUGCCCAAGGGCGUUGUAGAACGCUCUGGCCACAGUGUGGGGAUGGGAGCUCCCGCCGACAGACUCUGUUGCUUUCUGGCUUGGCCGCUGGUUGUCCCUCGCUCCUGGGAGGUCACCAUAUUGAUGUCAAACUCAGUGUGGAUGCCCAACUGGCAGAGUGCAUUAUAGCCCAGAGCUCAUGGACUCAAGUUAACCUCCCAAGUCCCUGGGACUACAGAUUCCUGAAUGACCCGGCAGCAUGGCAGAGGUGGUGGCUACUGAUACGGCUCUGAUGAUGGGAGGAACACCAGGGUCCUUGGUUUUGCGCUGAUGUAG